ensembl:lncRNA
GUCAGGAAGGAAUGAAACAGAUAGAGGCCGUCUCCACUGAAAGGAGAUGAGCGGCGAUUAGAGGCAUCAGAAGGAGAAUCGGCUUCAUCAGGAGAAACACCGUCCCUGCGGGGGACACGGGAUGGGCAAUCCGGAGGGGGAGAGCGCAUGGAAAACGGUGUUAAAUCAUCACCAUUAACAGAAAAUGAAACAAUAACGCCAUUGGACUUGUUGCAAGAUUGCAAUACUUGCUAAUGAAUAUCUAAAAACACCAACGGUGCACGGGGGAGGGAAGGGAAGUGGGAGGAGUAUUUAUAUUCAUGUAUUGUAUAUAAUGGUCUGGAGCGUUGGGGCCUCAGCGGGGAAACAGCCUUUGUUUUAAUUAACGGUUAAAUUGCUAGGCUGCUAAUACAAUAUAAUUUAUACAUAUAUAUUGGGUUAAUAACUUAGCCAGCACGAUCAAUCAUCUAAAGUCUCAUUUUCGGGAGCUAAAGAAAGCCCCAAUGUAGGCACGCGUUAAUGUUUAGUAUGUUGGCGUGUGUGUGUGUUGUAGUGGUAAAUGGUACAGAGCAGCAGCCAUGCCCGAGGUGGUGUUUUUAGAUUAGUAUCAGCUCUUAGCUGUACAUACCGGGAGGUCAUUUCCUAUAAGCCGAUGAGCCUAAUGUUUGGCAGUGUAACGUGUUGAGAAAGUAGCUGCAUGUGGCGGCGUGUGGAGCGUGUAGGUCAACAUGUCUAAAAUGAAUCCCUCCAGUCACCGUAAUAGACAAAAAAAAAAAACCUCUGCAAGGUGAAAUGUGUUUUAUAGCCUUCAUAUCCUAAAGGUAUGUCGAGUCGUGUCCUUUGCUACUUCAUGUACGGUGGAUUCAUUCAGUGCUUAAAAUAUGUUUAUGCAUGCGUGUGUGAGAUAGAGGACACGCGUGUGGGCAUGAGCCCAGCGAGGCAGAAAGGCUGCCAGCAGCCUUUGAGGAAGGAGCAUGUGUCCGGCGUCCACUGCUGUCGUGCUGGGUCACAGAUGUCACCUGCUGCAGUGGCCCGCCUUGCACCGCUUGCCCCCCGCCCCUCCCCCACCACGCCACCGCUUGUACAACAUCCCUGCUCCGGGGGGGGAACACAAGUAGCCCACAGUGUCGGUGGUUAUUUGGAGUAAAUAGGAUUGUUUUGGGAAUCAUACGCGGGUCAAAAAAACGUUCCCGGGACGUGCACAUGGGUCGCUCAGGACUAAAUAAGUAAAAUGCCAUCUGGGGCUACCGGCUAUGUUGCGCUGCCGUGACAAUGCCAAGUACUGACACGGCAAAGUUGAACUGAAUUAAACAGUACUGGCUGGUGGGUUGGUGGCCUUAAACACGGCAGAUUAGCCUGGAAAGAAGCCCGGCAGAGGAAAACGUGCUUAGAGGAUGUCAGCCAUGAGGAGAAGUGUGAAACCACCAUCCAACCAGAUAAAUCAAGGGCGAGACAAAGAGGCGUGUGUUUGUGAGUCUGCGGCGAGAGCAUAUAGACUGCUAAUGUUUUCGGGGGAGGUCCCAUCCAUUUGUGUGGUCAUCUUUUCGAGAGGGCCUUGAAAUUCCUUUUGCACGCCUCACCACUUGUUUGCUUUAGAAGCAAGAUGCUUUUUACCAGAGGAAUCCUCCAUGGUGAUUGUGGAUGUGUGCAUCUCUCACACACACACACACACACACACACACACACACACACACACACACACACACACACACACACACACACACACACACACACACACACACACACCACUGACAUUGCAGAAACAGACAAGUGGCUCCACCAGGUCUCCCGUGGAGCCUGUGCUGCACUGCAGCGACAGAUCAGGGCGGGACAGCGUGCCACGCUCCCGCCACACGCCAGCCUCCUCGCUCUGCACUCGCCACCAGCCGCGACUCGCUUCGCAUAAAACCAGCCAGGCAGUUCUGCAUGCCAGUUCCGUCUUGUUAACUUACUGCAUGGUUAGGAUUUUUAUUAUUUAUCAGCUAGUCCGUUUUUGUGUCUGAAUUUUUUUCAACGAAGAAUGAGGCGACGGUAGUGGAGAUUUGUCGAUUGCAAUUUUCUCGGCCCAUUCUGGUUGCAGAUUUAUUUAAAGUCUGACCUGCAGAUUCGUUUUGAGAACUACAGUUCUACAGAGAGCAAGAAAAACAUUAUUUAGAUAACGUCCUGGGACUUUCACAAAGAGUCAUUUAACCAUCCUAGAGUGUCAGAUAUUUAAAACGUUAUCGUCACCGGUGGUGGUCUUUUGUAUAAAGACACACAACUCAGAUAUUCAGAUACUGCUACAAUAAUGUGACACUAACUUCUCCUUAGUUCAGCCAAACAAGCUGCCAAAUUGGAGCUGCAACAAGAUGUAAGAGGUUCAAUCCGCGAUUUUAAAAGGCAGCUGAAGUGUAUGUGCAAACUGUUACAUGCUUGGUCUCGGACACAUGAUGCUGCCUUGUGCCAUUUCACAAAAAGUAAUGCAAGGUCAGUUUUUAUCAAUCGAGCAACCAGAGUGAUUACUUCAAGCAGCAAUUCUGCCAAAGUACCAAGAGCCAUUCUCCACAUUGUGAGCCGCAUCACUUCCUGUGUAUAAAGACUGAAUGGCACACCUGAAUAUGUGGGCCUCAUCUCCAUUUGAACAAUUUGCCGCAUCAUGUUCCUCUUUAUGACAGCAAGCCUGACAGAAAAACGUCUAGGUUGUAGCAAAGGAAACAAGUUAAUGAAAUUGUAGAAAAGAAAAAAAAAGAAAAUCAGGCUUGCUGUACAAGCGGAUUAAAACAACAAGUCGAAAAAUGUUUUUCUUUUAGUUUUUCUUAACAGUAAUAACUUCAGCUCUGUAAAACAGGGCCCGGAUGGCACCUAAAGGGUGACUCACAUUGUGUCGAUUGACUUGGGUACUUAGUGGUGAACUACACUUCUCAAAUCACAUUUUAGAAAGGUGCUAAAGUUUAACAUUCAGGGUUGGGGUCCAUAAUUUAGAUUUUCUGGAUUGGCUUGGAAGAAACCUCCAAGGAUCCAUUGAGGGUUCACUCAGGUAGGAGGGCCGGGGGCACUAGGAGCGCAACGUGGGGGCCUGGUGGGCGCACGCACCCAAUGCUUCUAAUCCCAGUUAAGACAAGCUCGGCAGGCCGGCCCACACAAAAGGAAGCUGGGUCCAGCGUUAGUGGAAUUAAAGCAAAGCCUCUCCUCUGUUGUUAGGCUAAUCCACAAGACAAUGAUUAUCGGCAGGGCAACGUUGCCACGGCGAUAACAUGGCUCAAGAGUGCCUCAAUUAGGGCACCAAUUUCCAGACGGGACCGAGUGAGGCCAAAAGAGGAAAAAAAGAGUGUGGGAAAAGCCUUUUGUUAUUCUAACCGAGUGGACGGGUCAGUUUUUCAAACCGAUUGACCUUGGCCAUUCUUGACCCACUCCAUGUUGUAAAGACGCCCCCUCUCACCGGGGCAAGCUCGAGCACAAGUACAUGUAAUUACCCCUCAAAUGGAGACAAGAGCACGUUAUUACGCAGCAACUACGGGGAACCAUUAUGGCUCAAAAUAACAUGAUCUUUGCACAGCGAGAGUGGAAUAAUGAAGAGUGAGUUUCCCUAAACGGGUUUUGGUUUGCCUCAUUCAUCCUCUUACGUGGCAGCGCAGCAGCUCAGGUGGUUGCACGCUUUGUUUUUUGUUUAAACAUCAAGAGUUGGAGGACAACCGUAACACUGGAUUCGUCUACAGUAAUCCUUCAUUUACUCUAUAAAUCAGAGUGUGGAGGCAAAGCCCUGGCCGGGUUUUUAAAGCUCCUCACUGAUGUGCCAAUUUCAAUUCUUUGCUGUCGUCACAAGAUCAAAGAAAGUAAACACCCGACUAGGGGAGGCUGCUUUUGCUUCUCUGGAGCGGCUUGUCACACUUUACAGAUGCAUAUUUGAGAACCUGGGAGUGUGGCUGCCGUCGCACGCGUCCUCGUCAAAAGCGGCUCCGGGUCGCAGACAGACGGAUGUGUACACCCUAUUGGUUCAGCCGUCUAGGCAGUCACGUCAUCAAGCUUUUUUGGCACGUGGUCAAUCACCGGCUCUCUCCCUCCUCGUACAUGGCCCGCAACUUCCACAGCAUAAUAAGCCUUGGACUGCUGGGUAACCUCAUCAAGUCCUAAUAAGGGCUCUUAUAUCUGGCUGGCAUGUUGGUAUUAAUCUUCCAAACCACAGCGAGAAUUGAGAAAUGGGUUCUGCCAGGCGGGGCCUUUUUUUAAAAUUGCCUCUGCCUUGAUGACACCGGCAAUGAAGAGCAAUGGGGGUCGGGAGGAGGGAUGGUACCAGGGACAGCAUGAAAAGGAGGGAGUGGGUGGUAACACCUUGUGAUGCAACACAUGAUGCAAAUGGUCUCAUGCUGGUUUGCCAGGGGCUUUGCCAGAGGUGGUCGCUGUGCUGCCACUCACACAAACUCUGACAGGGGGGACGGAGGGGAGUCAACGCAGCGGGAGGACGUGUAGAAAAGCACAGCUGGGGAAUGGGGUCCGAUAACUGGUCGCAUUUUGGAUGCAGUUUCCUGUCGGCAAAAACUCUGAUGCAUCUUUCAUCGGUCCUUUUAGUUUUACUGGCUUUGGCUCAUUGCACAGGAGGAGGGAUUUGGGACAAUUCAUUCAAGCUACUGGACGACCUGGUCUCACAGCCAGCUAGUCGAAUAAGUCAGUGCACCCCAAAACCCAUUUCCACUGCCCUGAAGUCAGUGUAAACAAUACAAAAGUCUAAAUGUUAUCUUUUUACUUCGUUAUAGUGACCUGUUUUUUCCUCAUUCAAGAGAAAAGAAAUUAAUUAAAACUACAAAUGACAAGAUUUUGUCCUGUGAGCUGCUGUUUAAGGAAAACAUCUUCAAAAAACCUGGAUCCAUUCGAGUUCCUCACCAAAACUACAUUUUAUGACGUGAACAUACCCGUCAUAAUUCCACCAAAGGGACCCUUCGCUCUCCUCCUGUCCAACCCAACACAGAUUAGUUGCUUACAAUGUAACAUCAGAGAUGGCCAACGAGCAGAGCCAGCUUGCCGAGGGUCCUAAUCGCAUAUCUUACAGAAUAUAGGCAGAUAACACCCAUCACUAAGACUUGAUUUCAAACAGUGCGAUUGAUUGUUGGUUAAAUCACUGCUGCUCGGUGCAGGUCGUAGAGGCGAAGGGGUCAAACAACAUCCCUGUGUUUCAAGUGAAUUGUCCCCCCCUCCUGUUGUAAUGGGAAACACAAUGAUUUUGUUACCUAAAACUAACUUCCUUCCAUAUUUAGAAAGUACUAGUGUACUUUCUACUAGUAGAGUGUCAUAGCUUGAAGUGUCGGUCCGGUGGUAGGAUCCAAUGACAUGCCGAUGAACCCCAACUCUACAACUUACGCGGGGAGGGCAAAGAGCAUCUUUGAGUCAAACAGAGCAAAGCGCACAUUUUGGGUGAGGUGGGGGGUCAGUCCAGCCGAACUACCAGCAAAAGAUAUUAUAAUUGGCAUUUUUUUUCAACCCAAUGAUCUCUUCGAGAUAAACCAAUGCUGAAAGCGAAUAGGGACAGAGCCAAAAAGGAAAGGAGCGGGAAAAAUAAACAGAUCACUAGAGAGCGCUUUGUACUUCUCCCCUUUUGUGGACCUUUAAGCAUCAAAGAGAAGCAGUAACUGUACCUCCCAAAUCCCAAAUUGAUAAAAGACCACACACCGCCCCAGAGACAGAUGCUUCAAAAUGUUAAGGGUUCACGCUGGUAAGAUCACACUCCCCACAUGCAACCAGCUGAACUUUAGAAACACUAGACGCUGGAGAACACUUAAUAACCCGCCCCUGUAUCAGUCACAUGCUGAGAUUAUAUCCUGAAGACAGAUGCUGUAAACUGUGUUGCAGACAUCCACGCUUCAGUCGGAUAGAACCAAGAAACGUGUCUGUUUCAUAAGACAUCCUUUGGCAAACAAUUGUUCUGCGAGGUGUGUCGGUAUAUCAAAGAUAAUAAUUCAAAUAUACACACGGCUGUCUAGCAAAUGUACAGCUCAACGUACCCUCAACAUAAUGAUUACCACUGUGUACACGGCCCUCUCACGUCUGAAAUAACACAUUUUAGAAGUGAUGUGGAACUGAAAAAUCGAUACGCCCCAUUGUGAAAAAGCCUUGUAAACAACAGGAUUGUUUUUUGUUUUUUGUAAUACAUGUUGCUUCACAAAAGAUGCGCAUUGCUUAUGCAACUGCAUUGACAUGGCAAGAAAAUGCGUAUUGAUGUUGUAGUAUAAAAUAAUUAAAUCAGUAUAAUACAACGCCUGCCACACAAGAAUUAUUCAUCGUUAUAUAACUAAUUCAAUAAUAUCGGGCAAGAGACUUUUCUGGCCCUGAGGAGACCCUUAAUAUCAAGAAAUAUCACUAAACAGAUUGGACAUUUCGGAGUGCCCCAUUAUAUAAGUUACUCUCACACUCCUCCUCGAUUUGUAUCAAGUGCCAUUUAUUAUAUAAAUACAUCCUAAAAUCCAUUCUAAUCGAACACACUGCAUCUGGAAUAUAUGGUGUUUUGUCGACAUUUUUGCCAUCACGAACUCGGAGGUAUUGCCUGCUGUCUUCGGGUGAGCAAAUUAGAUCGGUAGAACUGAAUGUCACAUCAUUGUGCGCGGAUCACAGUGUAAUCAACACCUUAACACUUCGGUGUCCUCCACUUGUACGAACAUGCAGAUAUUUCCUUCAAAUAAAAGGAUAGAAACACCAGAAUUGCCCGCUGCCGUUUGCAUGAUAUGACGAGGUGGAUCCGACUCAGCCAACUGCAGCAUACAAAAAUAAAAAUUGAACGUACCGUUUGCACUUAUGUGGUUAAAAUUGUCCUUUAUAAAGCAGGACAGUCAUGAUUUUCCAAUGUAUUCAAUUGAAUCCAACUAAGCCCUAAAAGGCAGUUCUGAGAAAAUAACCCAAAAGAACAAUUCACCCGCAGAUACUCAGACAGUUGAAAAUAUUCAAUAUGCGAUGAACAAUGCAUUCCAGGAGUUGUGCUGGGAUUGUGUACGAUUUUGUGUUACUCACUUUCUUUCAACCUUCCCUGUCUAAAUUGAAUUCAGUUAGUGAUUUCCUAUAUUUCCCAGGGCGCUUUUCAACAACCUGCGCAGAAAAGGGCCGUCUCACUCAAUGGAACUGUUGUAUUCAACUGUUGUAUGUAUGUGGGUUAUCUGUAUGUAGAGAUAAAAUGACACAAAAUAAUGUAAGCAUUUCAGAGCUUUUUAUUUUUAAAAAGGUCAAGAGCAAGUUCUCUCAACAGAACACAAAUUUCCGAUUCCUGCUUUACAUUUUGGUCUUUUGAGACAACCUAUUGGGGCAAUUACCAGAGCCGCCUGGUUAACAAUGGAUGGUCGAUCUUCAUCAUUUAAAGCAAAUGAGCAUGUCCCUCAAUAGCCGUUUGGUACCUUUUCCAAAUCAUGGGCUGAGGAAGAAAGAAGGCGCUUAUCUGCUGUACAGCUUACGAAGCCCCCCGAGGCCAAUUUCUGAUUUGCGAUAUUGAACUAUAACAAUAAAAUUGACUCUACAAUCAGGAAGUGUAUCUUCAUAUUCUGUGUAGAAUAAUAGAUGGGUCUCUUUGCAAUGGCUGACUGCAGAUUUUGCCGUAUAUUCACAAUGUGACUGCUGCCUGAUUGCUCCCCUGCUGCCUUUCAGAAGCGCCAUGCUGAGCCAGGUGACAGAACUCCCGCUACGGAAAUCCAAUCAGGCCAAUCCUCCACGAUCCCUUACAAUCCUCUCAGCCGCCGCCGUACACCGCAAGCCAUCGGUAACACACACUGCACAUGCCACACACACACAAUGAACUCAUUGAUAGCUGGGGAGAUCGCAACAUGCACAUUAUCCAACUCACCUCCUCUGAAAUGGGCAAAGCGGUUUUGGGUUGGUGGGGGGGGCGACUUAGUGGUCAGAGAAGCCUCGAGUCCCCUUCAGCUACAAGGACAACGUAGUGUAGCAGACCUUAUGUCGUGGCCUUGCAAUGGAGGCCACUGAGAUAAAUGUAUCCCUUGGGGAUCAAUAGUGUCACAGCUAAAAUUCCCAGACACUCCCACGGCAAACAAACCCUGCUGGUAGCAGGAAUGGCACCAGUGACAUAAUACCCCCACCCUCUGCACCCCCGCCCUCCUCCCUUGUGGAAAAGAUAAUACAGGCCUUUCAUAUUGGUCCAGGUCCCACCUUCCAAGGGCCCCGGGUUGAACCCUCUCUGGACCCGUGUGGAGGUCACAUACGGCCCACCCAAUACUGGCGAGCACUGUAUUGGAUACCACUGGCUAAAUGAGGGCCAUUCAAAUCGUCCUUGUUUGUGGCGGUGGAGUGGCUGCUGGGAAUUUGGACUUCCUGUAGAAAACCGAACAAUAUCCAAAAUCCCCAACGCAGAGGCGAGCCUGUCACACAACCUUUCGGCCCAAGUGUGGGAUCUGCACCCAUUCUGUCAGAUGAGCUCAGAGUCUUGUUCUCUUCUAUCCCCAUGUGUGUUUCUUUGUUGGCUUGCGCAUUCUGUGUUCUGGCUGCACAAUGAAUUUUGGGCUAUUGUCACUGUGAUCCUAAUGGCCAGUAUCUAGCUCUCUGGAAAUGUUUUAUUUGGGGGGGGGGGGGGGGGGGGCAGGGGAGGUUGAGGGGCUGAAGUAAGGAUGGGUGAUAUGACUUCGUACGCCUCGAGCUGUGCAGCUGUCCCAAUUACUACCUCUCCUUUCGUUCCGAGUUUGCCGUCCAAACCCAUCUGUCUCUCCCGCUCUUCAAAUCUCUGUCCCUUUUCCUUUCGUAGAUGCAGCUAGUGUGGGUAUGCGUUGCCAGGAGGUUGCCAUUCUCGAAAGAGCCCUUUAUAGACCCGAAGUAGGUUCAGAUCCCGUUUUAGGUUCGACGCUGUGGGCGCAGAAAGCCCAGACAGUGAAUUUCCCGCAGCAUCCCUGAAUCCCUCCAAGCCUGCUCUGAUCCUGGCAUGAGCUGAGGACUCAGACGGGCCGACAAGGCUGUUUGAUGGCACUAAGCAUCGGGGGAUUUUUUUAGUUAGGUAUGUGGGUGGGUGGCAGGGAUGGGGAAGGGUGGUAGUUUGUGUCCCGUGGUGAGUUCCCGAGCAAUGUCUGAUGAGCUAAAAACUCUCAGUGUGUGUCAUACCCAUGUGAAUACAGUUCAUCAUGCUGAGGAGGUGCCAUUCACUGCAUUCUUCUGGGGCCAAGCCUUGAAGGAGAUAUAUUAAACAAUGACAAUAUGUACACACACACGCACGUCACUGAAUGCAAAGGCGUGAAAGCGGCUGUGCACUAAGGGGCAGUUCAGUGCUUUCAACUGAAAAUGAGAAAGAAAGGGGAAGGAGAGACUUGUAGCACUGCAUGUGGAUGGGUAGAGGGUACAUGCCUAUUUCUGGAAGAAGGAAUAUUGUAAGACACACUUCCCAUCUCACGCUGGAUCAGCAAUACUCUCAGAGACACAGCAAGCACGCACACACACACACACACACACACACACACACACACACACACACACACACACAGACACACACACACACACACACACACACACACACACACACACACACACCCCCUUUCUGAUGCGAGUGCACUGCAGGCUGGGUAGCCUUCCCUCAGGGCUGAGCGGAGCUGGGGCAGCACACAGGAUCUCUGACGGGUCGGACCCCUCAGCCCAAACCCAACACACAUUCACACAUCCGGAAAACCCAUCCGUGACAGCUGUGGCGACGGCAUUGUGUGAUCUAGACCGAGUCCCUACACAAAUCCAAUCUGAUGCCACAUGGCUAUCGGGCACAGUUCCUAUUGUGCCUGUCUGAAUGGCUUCCUAAUCAGACAGGACCCCUUUCCUCCACUCGGCCUUCACACAUUCGGCAGAGUAAGACAGGCAGACAGCAGGGCAGGCCUGCUGGGGCCUUUUUUCUACAUGCUAUCAGUCUUGAUCGGGCUAGGCUGCUUAGGCUGAGCUUCAGCGGCCUCGUAGGGGCCGGCUUGCUUUUUUUCCAUGGAAACCUACCCCACACUCGUCCUGCAAUUGGCUCGGACGCUCACUAGACAGACACUGUCUUUCAGUACAGAUAAUAAUGGCCCUCAAGCGGGACGACAGCAGGACAAGACUGAUGGCAGAAGUUUUUUACCCUGCAGAGCCGUAUGUACCAACUACUCUGAUGUACAAGACAUCACUCCAUCAGCAUUUAUGGGAUUCGUUUUUUUCCAUCGAUUUACUGAUGACUGCAAGAAAAAAUAAAGGGUAGAUGAGACAGAAGCUCUCAGAAAAGUGGCGGCCAAAUACCCACACUGGACAUUAUUCACUGAACCAUGGGGAUGAAGCAGCGAAUUCUUUAUCUCCCCAACAGACCAAGUGCUUCAUAAUAGAAGACUCAGAAAUGAGUGCGUUUCCAUUCAUCUAUACAUAAUCAUUUCAGAUACACCAAAGGCGAAAAAGCUUAUUUUUUUCCACCACUCUAUUUACAGUACAUUGUCUCGAAGUGGGUUGCAGAAAUACCCUGCAUAGAGAUUAACUAUUGCAACAAAACAAUGCUUCCACAUUGAGCCUUCCUCUUUUGGUAGCAUUGCUACUUACUGCGGCUCGCUACGAGCAUCGCAGAGUCUUAGAGAGCCGCCUCACUUCAAUGUCCUUUGUGUUUUGUAAGCACGAAGCCCCCCAAACUGGAAAACAUGCCAUCAAAAUGUGUUUGUUUGUUUCCCCCCGUCGCUCUAUUCAGCCGUCUCCUCUCAUCCACCUGACACCGGAGGAAGAAAAUGUUGGUAUGCCUGGGACAACAGGGUGCAAAAAGAGGGAUGUAUGAACAGCACACUGAAGCCAAUAUCAAGCAUUACACACACACACACACACACACACACACACACACACAGUACAGUGAGCCAAAACACUGUGAUGCUUGAAAUUAGAAUGGCUUUUCAUGCAAACAGAGGCGCUUGCUGUGCAGGUGACAAGCUGGUACUGCCAACCGAAUUGAAAUGAAAAACAAAUCUGACUGCGAUUUCAUAAUGGGAGUCCACUUGACUCGGAGCGCAGCGCUGAACCAGGCGAACUGAGCUCGCCAUGUGACGAAUGGGCACGGUGUUAAAUACAGAUAAAGAGCUAUGAAAUUAGCCGCCGCCCAUUAUUUUUGGGGCUCAGGCGCACGGCGUCUAACCUCGCCGGCGGAGCAACACUGAUGUGUUUAACGAAGUCAUUAGUCAGGAAUGAAGACAGACAGCGGCGUGAGACGCGGAGGCACCAAAGGUCAAAAACUGAGAGAAGGGGGGGGGGGGGGAGAAAAGCGGAGGGAGGCGAGAGGGAGGAAAUAGCUGCAGUAAGGCGCUCUAGAGAGCCCACUGUACUGUAUUAAAAGAUGCAGUGUCAUGUGUUACAAAGCACGAGACGGCGAGUCCAACAUUUGUCCAAUGUGAUCGGAAACAACACAAACUUCUGCAAAAAAAAAAAAAAAAAAAAAACUUCAAAACGUGCCGAGUAAAUUCCAAUGGUUGGUUGGAGUGUUAUCGCUUCUAUUUAACGCAAGUGCUUCAUCAAAAUUACACAGCCUAAAAUAAACUGCUACAGUGUAAUUAUUUGCAGUUGGCUGAUAUAAAUGUCGGUGCCUAUUCAUUCCCAAAAUGGCGUGGCACAGAUCCAAGCAAAUUGCUCAGUCAGUCACUUUGCUUUAUGUCAAAUAAUUGGCCUCUGACAGCUUAAAAACACAGACAGGAGUCCAUCUGCAGGAGCACAUCCCUCUGCAAUCGGAGACAGAGCGCUCGUGCCACGGCAUUGACGGCUGUCACCGCAAUAUACACACACACACACACACACACACACACACACACACACACACACACACACACACACACACACGACUGUUUACUUAUUCAGGAAUGGGUGAGGGCAACUAACUCAAUCCAUCUGCUUCCAGUUGCCACGGCUGUCUUUAUUAGAUAACAUUAAUGAUGCAUUAGUUGUCAAUUCGGUGUCCAGUUUCUCCCUCGUCAGCGGCUCCAAUUCAAACAAGAACAAAGUAGAUAUCGGCCGCAAAUUGAUCGAAACAUCAAAAAAUUAAUUGCGGCACUAUAUAACAGGCCACAGAAGGACUGACAGGGAAAGAGGAACACAGCGUGUUGCAAUAUGUCUUGUAAUAUCACGGAAAGACACGCUGAUACAACGUACUACAGCUGAGGACACCGAAAAGCCUUGUCACCGGUAUCACACAUUGAUUUCACGUGAAAACAAAAAGAAGUAUUGCUCAUUAAAUCGGUCACAUGGAAUAUACAUUUUUAAAAAGGCUUUCAACUUCAGAUGUGGAGAUCAUGACAAUAUCAAUAUUACACACAUCCACAUCCACGGUGAUCUGCUGUGUGAGCUGUCCAUUUGCAUGUCAUCCUUAACAGUCUGUGAAGGCAGACACACAUCUUCCACAGAGGUGGGGGGUUUGAACCUCUAACCCCCCCAGCACCAGGAUGCCAGACUCUUUUAGAUGAGCUACACUGAAGCACAUACACCGUCUGCCUGUGCUGCCACCUCUUCUAUCAUCAUCAUCAUCCGCUGUGUAAAGUGCCCCCUCCUCCCAUUUCUUCCUCCGACUGUCCAGAGGAGGUGACAAUAAAAAUAUGAAGCUCGGACUGAGCGUAAUGUGACGUAAUGUGACGCAUUAUAAAUCAUUCAUAAAAAUAAAUAAAUGCAACACACUUCCAAGACGAGCAACAAAACGAAACGCACGCCCGGCUGCGAGGACUCUUUGCCGGACUAACGGGCAGCUGCUUUGUCCACACCGGAGGACACACGCACACUUGCCAGGGCGCCUCCCCGAGAGUCAUGUGUCUCUUAUUUCCUCGUUGUGUGCGUGUGUUUGUGUGCGCGUGGGGGUUAAAAGGCGAGUGCACCCUCGCCGGAAGGUGAUAACUUGAGUUAUGCGGCCACAAUUUGCUGGAUAUAAAAAAAAAAAAAAAAAAAGCAAAACAAACGCACCCCAUGCAGACAGCUAGCUUGCAUGCUACAUGCUUGUAGCCCCUGUUGAUGCCCGUUAGCUGUGAAAACAAACAGCAUCACUCCGCGCGGAGCAGGUAACGGACACCAGGUGGAAGUGUUCAAACACUUCCACUCUCUUCGCCCGGCUGAGAAUAACCAUCGGAAGGGCGAAAGCGCGGCGAGGGGCGCUGCGAGGUUCACCGGGCGGAACACCGCGAACCGAAUGCGUCCGAGUAACGGGCACCCGGUGUAACGGGGCACCAGAGAUUCCUAACCUACCGCGAGCGCCCUGUGGUCACCGGGGGUCUCAGCGGCGACGCAGUCAACAGGGCCGGGGGGCGACGACGUAGCGGGGAGGGGGAAUCUGUGAACCGAGCAACCGCAGCUACCAAAAACGUUUCCGCCGCGCGGCGGGGAUGGUAUCGCCUACCUCGACAUGGUAUACCGGCUUCCAGCGGCAUCCGACCGGGGCUGCGGAGACUCGGUCUGGCGCAGCUGAGGAUGGCUGUUCCCUUAACAACAAAAAAAAGCCUGCGGCGGAAACAGGAACUGGGGGAGCUGGGAUCUCUGAAUACGGCAGUCGAGGCGGCUCUGUGGGGAUCUGCUAGGUGGAUGGCGUGUCAGCGCGUACCGAAGGGAGGCGAGGGGGCUAUUUCAUAUCCUGUCCUGACUUCAGAUUAAAAGCCUGCGCGGCCACUGGAUAGCUCGCAACGCACCGGUUCGGCCUUUAAACAGCUAUAAUUUAGUGAUUUAUUUGCAUUUGACUGCUGUAGCUGUGAGGAAAUGACAGAUGUUUUUAUUACGGUAGGCAACCUUUAAGAUUAAGAACAAUACAUACUAGGUCAGAAAUUCGUUCUCUAGCAGAAUGAGUGUUUUAUUUUGACGGCAUGGCGGGUUCAUUUCCGGUGUGUUUCUGGCUGUCACCGGCUGACUUGGCUACGGAUGGAAGGCGGGUGGAGUGGAAGCUGCAGUGCGCACACCAGCGUUAUUUUGUUGUACUGCAGUCGGGCUCAGACAGAUUGGACAGACAGGUCUGGUGCCACCGGGGUGAUGAGGGGCACAACGAGGUGCAAAGUUUCCAUUUUGAAAUUAUUAUUCAACUUCUUGUUAAUUAGCCAUCAUAGACAACAUCCCACGUCUAAAUUGUGUUGAGGUGAUGGCAGAUGUCUGAGAUGUCUCAGUGUGUGACCAAAUAAACCCCUAAACUCUUAUACACAAAAACAUUUGAAUGUUGACAACAAAUGGCCCAAAAAAAUAUUCUUCAACUGCAUUUUGUUUUCGCCGCCAAUUUUCCGGAGCAAAUGACAAAGUGGUCUUACUGAAGUAUAAUUAAAGGAUGAGUGGGCUACUGAAUGGAAGUCUUAAUGUUACACGAUGCAAUUUACAGCUCUGCAUGACUCAGCUUUUUAAGAGAUUGAUGAUUUCUUUGCUGUAAAAGGUCUGGUGCAAUGGUCAUCCAUUUAUGUUGGUAAACCGCAUACCUGAGUGGACACAGCUUCUAGUCAGCAGCUACACACUAUAAACCCCUCUCGUAAAGGCCGGAGCUCAGCAGUCUCCCUGCAGAGACCUGCUUAUUCAGUAACUCACAGCCUUGGUUCACAAUAUCCAUUUUAAUCUGGUCUCAUUUGCUUUUCUUCAUGUCAGAGAAGAAUAUUAGCUUUUCAUCUAUUUGAAAAUGGAUGAAAAGCCAUUUCAUCUUCAGGUUAUUUUCAAAGCUAAAGAAAAGAAAUCAGAAGCCAAGGACCACUCUGUUAAUUAGGAUGUUUUUCUAUCCCCCAUUUUCAGUCCAACUGGAGACACUAAAUCAAAUUCAUAUUACCCCAGGGCUUUUCAUUUGGUGCUGUUUGGCCAUCUAUCUCUGAGUAAAUAUCCAGCAUGCCUCUGAGAGGCCUCAGUCCAGCGGCGAGGAGCUGAAUCACAAUAACAACCACCACCUACGUUUGGUACAUACAUAUUUCCCACUGUGAUCAACGGACUCCUAAAAAUGAUGCAGUGGCUCUCUCGUGUGGCGUAAAAGCCACAGUGCACUCCAAAUGUUCAAGGGGUUAGACAUUUAAAAAAUGGAAAUGUGACUCAGUAGACCUUUCACUUCUCUUUUUUUUUUUUUCAACCGGGCUUGUACUUGCACCAGAAAAACGACUCACAGUUCAGCAGUUCAACUGUAAUCGUCACCGGCAAAUAUUCAUGCACCUGCUCCUCCGCUGUAUAUGCACUGCUGCAGAGGAACAGCUGCCCCCAAAACACACACAGUAUAAUGUCAUCAGUCACUUGUCAUGUCAUCCUCAGUGUGGUUUGAGCGCGGGUGCAGGCUAGUCGAUCACUCCUGACCUGUUUUUCUUUGCUGACCUUUUCCAGAUUGAGACACAGAGGAAGAGUUUCCAAGGGCAAACAUGUGAUCUUUAUUCAAGCCGAAAGGCAAGCGGGAAUGCUUCAGAAUUACUGUCGAGGUUACGGAGAACCAAAUGUGUGAUGCCGCAUUAUGGAUGCAAAUGUAAGCUAAUAACCAGACUGAACCGCUAUUUAGUGUCAGAAACCAAAACAUCUGAGACGAAGGCAGCCGUUCUGUGAGCCGGCUCGCUCAGAUGCUUUAUUGGGCCAAGUGUCACGUUUUCAAGGGUCCCGAAAUCCAUCACACGCUUUGAAAUAAAAUGUAACCGAAUAAUUAGAGUGUCAUUAGGAUGUAAUUGUUAUAAAGCAUUCUGUGCUACAAAGCAUUUCAUGAAAUGUGGGACUUUUAAAUGACUGUAACAAAGAAAUAUAUUAAACACAGUCAGAUUUUUUAAUAUUCAUGGCAUGUGACUGAGAAAUCGCUACAUAAAUUCUGGCUAAAUUGUUUGAGAACAAAGCAGCUCCAGUUAGGGAAUUACACCAAGGUUGAAUAGAUAGAGGAAAAGCAAUAGACUGGAAUAUUAAGCAUGAUCCACUACAUGAAUCAUCUACAUGGCUUUUGAAGCUUAUCAAAAUGAGACGGCGAAUACAGACCGCGGGAUCGUUGCCAUAAUAGCUCAUUUAAUUAUAGUCAACAUAUUUAUUUACUUUACUGUUACUGUUACUGGAAGGCGGUCGGUCCUCAGAAUUUUUUUUAUAUAUUAGUAUUCCAGGCAAACAGAGGUUUGUUUUUUUGUCUUUCUUUCAGCCAACAUCCCCCAUCACUACCUUCAUGAGAGCAGCUGGAAAAAGGGCAGCAGGAGAGAUGGAGUUUCAACGACAUUGAAUGCAAUGCUGGUUUGCUAGAAGUUUCUCAUUAAAAGUUAGAAGGGAUUUUUGGAACGAGCCCAGAAUUAAAACAACCCAUUUACCCUCUAAGUGUGGCGUGACAGGUGGCGUUCCUAACAUACUGAUACAUGCUUUAUAACUCAUACAUAAGCUUUAUGCAAUCAAAGGUUUUGAUCCGCAUCCAGCAAUAUCAUUUAAAAUGAUUUACACACAGUGUUUUGCCCCUGUGUUUCAAAAGAGGCAAUUAUGCUGGUAUCGAUACACCAAUUAUGGUGUAGUGUCACUCGUGAGAGCCAUUUAGGACCCUGAGGUUCAUUGUGUGCAUGUCAAAAACAUUGAUGCCACAUUAAACGUUAUGAAACAUUUUGAUGCAAUCCUUGGAGUGGAAAUGCAAUUUAAUAGGACAACGUAUUUGCUUAGAUGUAACACUGGUCUCCUACAAAACACACAAAGAUAUCUGUGAAAUAUAACCCACAAAGUAAUUGGAACUGAUAAAACACAAAAGGAAAAAAAAAAUAUUUAAUAAGCAUCAAGCUGUGUUUUGAUGUUUCCUAUGUCAGUUUUCUUAAAUGUUGUUAAAUAAAGACAUUGCACCGGUUUUGAAUGAUAUCAAUCCAAGACGUUUUAAUUAAAUGCUGUAAGAGGCUUUAGCUAUAAAAGCUUUUUAUCACACCGGGUGUCACAGGAAUUUCAUCCUCUACUGAUCCGCAUCGUCACACGAGAGUCGUUACGUGGAAGUCACUUGAGAGUCAUUUCAAUCACAUAGAUUAAGGUGUGAAGGGACGUGAAGAUCAUGUCGGGAUGGAUUUAGAAGUUUGUUGGAUAAGGACAAGUGGAUUGAUGUUUUCAGGAACACAUUGUCACACAAAUCAAACUGUGAAGGACAUGUGAACAAUCCCCCUCAGCAAAAACAUUCACGGUAUAGAUUUAUGAAUGACACAAGAACGUUUGGUUUUUAUAUAAAUGCUACUGAAUUAGAGAUUUGUGCCUUAGAGUAUGAAAAAAACAAUAAUUUGAGUAAACAUCCUUUAACGGUGAGAUAUUUAAAGUGAGUACAGUGGAAAUCUGAGUGAUAAUAUCACCAUUUAAUUCCACAUGUUUAAUACUUACUACUACUAAAAAAAUAUUCUUUUGUAUGUCAGCAUUCCUGAAAUUAAUGAGGUAUAGGAAAAUGGGGUAUUACACAAUGCGUUCUCAAAUAGGGCAAAAAUAAACACUGAAAUGUGAAUGUUGGAUAUUUUCUUUCCAUGUUUAUGGAUCGUCUCUCCUUGAGAAAGAAAGAAAGUAGAUUGUUUUGAUGUGUAGCGAAAGGUCUAUAUCUAUGACCAUGUGUGCCUGCAAGUCAAUCAAUUCAAUCUUUAUGAAAAAAGGGGCAUUACUUCUCACAUCUGAAUCAUAAUGUGUUUUAACCACAUAAAGGUUCCACAGCCCCCUUCAAACCAAAGUCCCUAUUUAUUAUUUACUGCUUUGUGGAUGUGGAAUCGACCCUUGGAAUGUAUCAGUGACACUGAUGUGCUCUUGCUUUUCAAACAGCAGAUGUCAGUGUUACAUCACGUCUGCACAAAGUCAGUGUGAAUACGACCCUGAAUCACCACAUUUGUGUUUUACAGCGUGAACAUGUUGUGUGCCCCGUGGUGAUGUGCUGUGCACAUGGAUUGCAGUCUGUUCGUGUUACUAUGUGCACCCUGUUAUCCCUUUUUACGCCAUUGUUUCAUGUCACGUACUCCACCUCACUGGGCUGCUUCUGGAGAUAACGUGAAUGAGCAAACUGGUUAAAUGUACUGGAGAAAAGAAGGAACACCUCACCCAUUAUCAAAUAAAUGUUGCAGUGACUCAAGUCUCUCUCUCUCUUUCUCUCAUGAGCCUCCAGCAGGUGUCACUGAUGCCUCAUCGUAGGGACAGCAGCGCUGCUCCCACCACCCAGUUUUGUUACUGUGAAUGGCUCUCAUAAACCCCCUCGCCAUCAUCAUUAACACCAUCCUUUGAUUGCAGAAGGAAAAUGUUAACAAUAAUGUGAUGUCAUACUAACAAUAUUUACACAUUUACCAUAUGAUGGUAAGAGGAUUGCUAAGGUGAGUGUCAUGAAUACGUCAGUGCACACGCUUAAAUUUAAAAUAGAUUGUUCACAUCCUCAAAUUUGUUGGCCCCAACGCUCCAAAACUAAAAGACAUUUAGUUUAUUCUCACAAGAUCAAGAAAACCACAAAACCUGCUGCUUUUGCUCAGUUUUCUAUGGUUGAAGCAUUUGUGUCCUGUUGUUCGAAGAAAACAAGCAAUUAGAAGACACGCCUCGACCUCAAGGGCACUUUUAAAGAUGCGGACUGUCGCGUCACUGACAAGCCACUGACUAAAUAAUAAAAAAAGAUCAAUAAUGUAUUCGCUGAUGUUAGCUGCAGCCUUAAUUGGAAGGAAUCGCAAUUCUCUCGGCCCUCAUGUAUCACAGUAAUUGAGUGAAAAACACCCGCUCUCUGUGUAGCCUGUCAAACAUUUCCCAACUCAUUCACGAGGGUUCAUUAAUUUCACCGACACGUGGCGAGCUCCAAGCUUCUAUUCAUUUUUAAUCCACACUUUCCAUCUUUUCCAAUUGCACCUCCGUUGUUUCUUUCACACUUUCAUUUCUCCAAAAAAAAAAAAAAAAAGCUGCUUGGGCUCUUGCAGAGCAAAUAUAGUGAAUGAAUUUGUAGCACUGCUCCACAAUAUCUGGUUGAGAGAUUUCAAUGUUUACGAUGGGUGAUUUCGAGAGCUCUCCCUUGACAGCUAAGCGGACAUCUGCUCUCAAAUAGUUCCACCUGGACCUUUUCAUGGUUGUUGGCGGUACCUUUGUUUGCAGUCACAAGUUGGUCCAAUAACCCACGUCGGCUCACGUUUAGAAUUACCGAGGAAGUAAAACGUUCAUCUAUGAACUUCAUCAGUACUGUAGGAAAACAAAACGCCUGCCCAUUGGAGUGCAUAGUGAAACAACACUGCAGUCAAGCUGUGUACAUAAGGGCACUUCCAAAUCCCACAAUUUACCACUCGCAGCUCAUCGAAUACCAAAUCACAGUCAGUGACGCAACCACUCAAACUAUUACGCCUCUAGGCAUCAAUUUGGCACCCGUCACAUAUUUCCACUCAUUUAACACAUGCAAAAUAAGUUUCCUAAAUAUCCUACGUACGUUUACGAGGUUUUUAGAUUUACGUACAUCUCAAAACGACCUGGUCAGGUUUAGGAUUUUGUUUUACCGGUUUUCAUUGUUUAAAGCACAGUGACAAAGAUGGAUUCUGUCCCGUUCCUGCUCUUGUUGGUAAACUAUGACAGUAACGUGACAACGGUGAGGUAAAAUACCUCAGACUUGCUUUCACGCGGGACACUAAGCUGUCUUUGUGCUGUAGACCAUCUCACGAUGAUGCCGACGGGAUUCAAAGUUAGAUUAAAAAAGCCUGAUGUGUCUUUUAGAGACACUAAAGGGUUCCUUGCUGUGUCAGUCUCAUCCCGCUGAGGGGCCAAGUGUCGAUAUUUGAUAAAUUGGGAUUGAGCUGCUGAAUCAGGUGCUGCGCUCAGCGUGGCGACUUUGUCUCGUUUGGAAAAUGUCAUCCCAUAAGAAAGGUUGUGCUAAAUCGCUCAUCUUGUACUUGCAUGUCAAGUGAAGCUUUAAAUUGAAUCCUGGUAGUUGCAACUGUCGAAAAAACCCCGCAGCCCUUAAAGAUUGUGCGGAAGGGGAGCUGGCUUAAUAACUAUUCUAAAUGUGUGAGAUAGUGGGAGAUCUGGGAGAUCUCUUGCUGUAAAAAGGCAAGACAAGCUUUGCAAAACCUGUUUAUUCAUCAGGGCUCCACCUCUCUGCCUGUGCUUACUCCAUCAGCUGAUUGGGCACUGUUCAUAUUUAUGCAUGUUUAAUGAAUCAUUGUGGAAUUCUAAUGAAGUCUGUCCUGAUUGGAAUUGUGUGUGUCAGGUAUCAGCGUUUACUGCUUGGCUGUGCAGGUUGCAGCCUUCAUGAGCAAAAGCCAAAGCACAGAACGAAGUAUGUGUUAAUAUUCAAUAACUUCAAAUUCUCAGCGUUUAAUUAAGAAGGUGCGGAAGAAUGAAAGAGAAGCACUUUGACUUAGUUCUUAAUAAUUUAUUGCUAAGUAAAAAAAAAUACUUUAAACCCCAAUUUGAUGAUGAUGAAGCUGAUGAUGCAGGAAGACAUCACCACGACUGUCAAUAAAUUAUUUAUCUCGCAGUUUUCAUAAUUUAAUGUCCAUUUUCUUCAAAUAGACUAGUAGAAAAGUCUGCUUUGUGUUUACCCGCCGCGUCAGUGACACGAGUCGUAUCAGCUGUGAGCCUCGUGUUAGAACAAACAUCGACCCAUGUAGAGUCCCGCCGGUCUCAGACAGCCGAGUGGCACUUACCAACUGUCAAUAUUUGACGAGACGGGAAAGUGAGACCGGCUUGUCGGAUGUGUACAGGGAAGAUUUCAGAAUAUGAAAACUGUAAUUGUUCACCAGAAAACCUUGGUGGGGUCAUUUGAAGGUACCAUCUGCUCCGAUAAUAUAAUUGAAACCCAUGUUUUUAAUCAAGUCAUAAUAAUAACAUUAUUAUAUACUAUAUACCAGAGCAACAUCUAUUUCCUUAAACCACAUCAUCCGUCCCACCAAAAUGAGUUAUCUCAACGCACAGCUGAGCCCGAACAAUAACAGCAUCUGAUUUUUGUUCCAGCAGAACGCACAGACCCCAGGACAAGACCUCAGCAGUGUUAAAAGAACAGAACUCCAUGACACUAACUACAAAACACGCCUGACAGUUUCCGACGAACUGAGAGAGAGAGAGAGAGAGAGAGAGAGAGAGAGAGAGAGAGAGAGAGAGAGAGAGAGAGAGAGAGAGAGAUUUUUUUUUUUUGAUUUUUUAGAAAAACAAUUUAUUUUACAUAUUUCAACAACUUUGUCAAUGUGUUAAAAAGAGGUCACAGAUUUCC